rnacentral:rRNA from 1 species
AUUGAACGCUGGCGGCAGGCCUAACACAUGCAAGUCGAGCGGUUGAAGGGAGCUUUCUCCUGGUUUCAUCUUCGGACUGUUGUGUAUUUCCUAUUAAUCUGCCUGGUAGUUUUGUAUAACGUCCUGUAACGGGCGCUAAUACCGCAUACGUCCUUAGGUAGUAAGUUUGUGUUCUUCGUUCCUCACGCUAUCUGAUUAUCCUAGGUCGGAUUAGCUAGUUGGUUGGGUAAAGGCCUACCAAGGCGACGAUCCGUAACUGGUCUGAGAGGAUGAUCAGUCACACUGGAAGUGAGACACGGACCAGAGUACGACGGGAGGCAGCAGUGGGGAAUAUUGGAGAAUGGGCGAAAGCAUGAUACAGCAAUGCCGAGUGUGUGAAGAAGGUCUUAGGAUUGUAAAGAAAUUUAAGUUGGGAGGAAGGGAAGUAAGAUAAUACCUUGCUGUAUUGACGUUAACAACAGAAUAAGCAACGGCUAACUACGUG